AACGAACGCUGGCGGCAUGCCUAACACAUGCAAGUCGAACGAGACCUUCGGGUAUAGUGGCGCACGGGUGCGUAACGCGUAGGAACCUGCCCUUAGGUUCGGAAUAACUCCCCGAAAGGGGUGCUAAUACCGGAUAAUGUCUUCGGACCAAAGAUUUAUCGCCUUUGGAUGGGCCCGCGUUGGAUUAGCUAGUUGGUAGGGUAAAAGCCUACCAAGGCGACGAUCCAUAGCUGGUCUGAGAGGAUGAUCAGCCACACUGGGACUGAGACACGGCCCAGACUCCUACGAGAGGCAGCAGUGGGGAAUAGUGGACAAUGGGCGAAAGCCUGAUCCAGCAAUGCCGCGUGAGUGAUGAAGGCCUUAGGGUUGUAAAGCUCUUUUACCCGGGAUGAUAAUGACAGUACCGGGAGAAUAAGCUCCGGCUAACUCCGUG
rnacentral:rRNA from 1 species